rnacentral:rRNA from 1 species
AUACGUAGGGCGCAAGCGUUGUCCGGAUUUACUGGGUUUAAAGGGUGCGCAGGUGGCCAGGCAAGUCGGCGAUGAAAUCUCGGAGCUUAACUCCGGGGCUGUCGCCGAUACUGCAGGGCUAGAAUGUGGCAGAGGCAGCCGGAAUGGACGGUGUAGCGGUGAUAUGCGUAGAGAUCGUCCAGAACACCAAUCGCGAAGGCAGGCUGCCGGGCCAUUAUUGACACUCAGGCACGAAAGCGUGGGGAGC